UGACUUCCUCCUCGGACUCGUGACCCGGCUUCGGCCGGGGAUGAUCAUAACCCUUUGCUGUCCGACUCUGUUGCCUCCGGGGCGACCCUGCCUCCGGGCGGGGGCCCCGGGUGGACACAUUCAAACUCUUGCGUAACUUUGCAGUCUGAGUAAAUUUAAUUAAUAAAUUAAAACUUUCAACAACGGAUCUCUUGGUUCUGGCAUCGAUGAAGAACGCAGCGAAAUGCGAUAAGUAAUGUGAAUUGCAGAAUUCAGUGAAUCAUCGAAUCUUUGAACGCACAUUGCGCCCCCUGGUAUUCCGGGGGGCAUGCCUGUUCGAGCGUCAUUUCACCACUCAAGCCUCGCUUGGUAUUGGGCGACGCGGUCCGCCGCGCGCCUCAAAUCGACCGGCUGGGUCUUCUGUCCCCUCAGCGUUGUGGAAACUAUUCGCUAAAGGGUGCCACGGGAGGUCACGCCGUAAAACAAGCCCAUUUCUAAGGUUGACCUCGGAUCAGGUAGGGAUACCCGCUGAACUUAAGCAUAUCAAUAAGCGGAGGAA
rnacentral:rRNA from 1 species